rnacentral:rRNA from 1 species
AGUGAACGCUGGCGGUAGGCCUAACACAUGCAGGUCGAACGGCAGCACAGUAAGAGCUUGCUCUUACGGGUGGCGAGUGGCGGACGGGUGAGGAAUACAUCGGAAUCUACUUUUUCGUGGGGGAUAACGUAGGGAAACUUACGCUAAUACCGCAUACGACCUACGGGUGAAAGCAGGGGUUCUUCGGACCUUGCGCGAUUCAAUGAGCCGAUGUCGGAUUAGCUAGUUGGCGGGGUAAAGGCCCACCAAGGCGACGAUCCGUAGCUGGUCUGAGAGGAUGAUCAGCCACACUGGAACUGAGACACGGUCCAGACUCCUACGGGAGGCAGCAGUGGGGAAUAUUGGACAAUGGGCGCAAGCCUGAUCCAGCCAUACCGCGUGGGUGAAGAAGGCCUUCGGGUUGUAAAGCCCUUUUGUUGGGAAAGAAAAGCAGCAGGUUAAUACCCCGCUGUUCUGACGGUACCCAAAGAAUAAGCACCGGCUAACUUCGUG